rnacentral:rRNA from 1 species
CCUACGGGAGGCAGCAGUGGGGAAUAUUGGGCAAUGGGCGCAAGCCUGACCCAGCAACGCCGCGUGAAGGAAGAAGGCUUUCGGGUUGUAAACUUCUUUUCUCAGGGACGAAGCAAGUGACGGUACCUGAGGAAUAAGCCACGGCUAACUACGGGCCAGCAGCCGCGGUAAUACGUAGGAGGCAAGCGUUAUCCGGAUUUACUGGGUGUAAAGGGCGUGUAGGCGGGGACGCAAGUCAGAUGUGAAAACCACGGGCUCAACCUGUGGCCUGCAUUUGAAACUGUGUUUCUUGAGUACUGGAGAGGCAGACGGAAUUCCUAGUGUAGCGGUGAAAUGCGUAGAUAUUAGGAAGAACACCAGUGGCGAAGGCAGUCUGCUGGACCGCAACUGACGCUGAGGCGCGAAAGCGUGGGGAGCAAACAGGAUUAGAUACCCUUGUAGUC